rnacentral:lncRNA from 1 species
AUACGUCGAUAGAACCCUAGCAUUGCUCUCUCGCUGUUCCCACCAUCUGACUGGCCUAUGCCUAACGUGGAGUUAGAGAAGAAUAGAGGAAGAGGAAGAGUUGAAGAGACACUAGUACAGGGAAGGGCUUUAGCCCCGGGCCGUAAGCGCCUUUAGUCCCGGCUACGGAACCGGGGCUAAGGUUUCGGGACUAAAUGUCCCACCUUUAGUCCCGGUUGGUAACAGCAACCGGGACUAAAAGGUGCGCCAGGGUGUGCCACCUGGCCUCCACUUUUAGUCCCGGUUGUUGCUACCAACCGAGACUAAAGACUUUUUUCUUUUUUCUUUUUCUUUUCAUUUGGUUUUCCAUUUAGGGUUUACAAUUAUGUUAUUGUUAUUUUCAAAUGCGUAUUGUUUGCUGGUAGUUUAUGGAACGCGCACCUAUAAUUUAUAUAAUUUAAAGGAUUACAUAUAAAUAUACUAUAAAACACUAUAUAUAUAUAUAUAAUUAUAUCUAUAGGUCCAUAAUAAAAUAUUUACACAUAUGCUUCACGGACAAAGUAUUUACAACAUAAUUUUUCUCCACCACUCAAGCAUCGUACAAAUGAUCAUCGUUAUUUGGUUUCAUUUGCUCCUGAGGGUUGAAGUAGCACUCGCCGCCGGAAUCCAGGACUUGGUCAUUAAGAAAUCCUGCGGUUGUCUCCUGAAUUCCUUUUAGGCGCACCGCAUCCAACACCUGCUCCUUCAGCCACAUCUCCUUUAAUAGACAUUAAAGAAAAAAGUUAGAGGUAUGAAUAGGAUUUAUUAAAUAGCAACAAAUAAAUGAAAUAUACUU